AGUUUGGGAGCCUGGGAAGUACAAAAUCAAGGCGCCAGCAGAUUUCAGUGUCUGGAGAAAACCUGCUUCCUCAAAGGUCUUGAUGUUGGGAAGUAAAAGAUCAGAGUGCUGGCAGAUUUUGGUGUCUAGUAAAGGACAGAUUUCUAGUGUAUAGAUAACACCUUCUACCCAUGUCCUCACAUGGCGAAAAAGUGACUGUAAGUUUCCUGAGGCCUCCCCAGAAGCAGAAGCCUGUAUACUUGGCAGAAGUGUGCUUAUGGAAAUACUCAGCUUUCAUGAUGCUCUAAUGGCUUUGGCAGACACUGCCCCAACUUCUUCAGGUGGUUUUCUCCCUUAACAGGGAGACUGUUGUUCAGGUAGCAGGACUGGCAACUCAGUAUGUGGUUUGCUUAUAAACCUGUGAACACA
rnacentral:lncRNA from 1 species